AGCAUGGUCUGCUGAUGGUUGGGCGACACAGACGGACUUCUGCCGUCAGAGGAACGUCUUGGAAGAAACUGUAAAAGGAAACGACUAAGCUGGCAGGAAGACAACCGUCAUGUCGUGCCAUCUCAAGCAGUUAAGCAGCAUGCAGGCCGUGUAACUAUGACCAUGUGCAUCAAGACCGAGACUCAACGGGACCCGCUGAGUCAGCCUGCCGUGUUUCGCCUCGCUGGUUCAUUCUAAGCUCGCAAACUUGUGCUGUCGAGUGUUUUGACGGAUCCGACAGGCCAAUGCUAUCCCGGAAAGACUAUACAGCCCACUUUCAGCGGUC